CGAAGGGUGCAAGCGUUACUCGGAAUUACUGGGCGUAAGCGUGCGUAGGUGGUUCGUUAAGUCUGAUGUGAAAGCCCUGGGCUCAACCGGGGAAUGGCAUUGGAUACUGGCGACCUAGAGUGCGGUAGAGGGUGGCGGAAUUCCCGGUGUAGCAGUGAAAUGCGUAGAUAUCGGGAGGAACAUCCGUGGCGAAGGCGGCCACCUGGACCAGCACUGACACUGAGGCACGAAAGCGUGGGGAGCAAACAGGAUUAGAUACCCUGGUAGUCCACGCCCUAAACGAUGCGAACUGGAUGUUGGGUGCAACUUGGCACUCAGUAUCGAAGCUAACGCGUUAAGUUCGCCGCCUGGGAAGUACGGUCGCAAGACUG
rnacentral:rRNA from 1 species